rnacentral:rRNA from 1 species
AUUGAACGCUGGCGGCAUGCCUUACACAUGCAAGUCGAACGGCAGCGCGGACUUCGGUCUGGCGGCGAGUGGCGAACGGGUGAGUAAUAUAUCGGAACGUGCCCUAGAGUGGGGGAUAACUAGUCGAAAGAUUAGCUAAUACCGCAUACGAUCUAAGGAUGAAAGUGGGGGAUCGCAAGACCUCAUGCUCGUGGAGCGGCCGAUAUCUGAUUAGCUAGUUGGUGGGGUAAAGGCUCACCAAGGCUUCGAUCAGUAGCUGGUCUGAGAGGACGACCAGCCACACUGGGACUGAGACACGGCCCAGACUCCUACGGGAGGCAGCAGUGGGGAAUUUUGGACAAUGGGCGCAAGCCUGAUCCAGCAAUGCCGCGUGAGUGAAGAAGGCCUUCGGGUUGUAAAGCUCUUUUGUCAGGGAAGAAACGGUUUGGGCUAAUAUCCCGAGCUAAUGACGGUACCUGAAGAAUAAGCACCGGCUAACUACGUGC